rnacentral:rRNA from 1 species
GACGAACGCUGGCGGCGUGCUUAACACAUGCCAGUCGAACGGAAAGGCCCUGCUUUUGUGGGGUGCUCGAGUGGCGAACGGGUGAGUAACACGUGAGUAACCUGCCCUUGACUUUGGGAUAACUUCAGGAAACUGGGGCUAAUACCGGAUAGGAGCUCCUGCUGCAUGGUGGGGGUUGGAAAGUUUCGGCGGUUGGGGAUGGACUCGCGGCUUAUCAGCUUGUUGGUGGGGUAGUGGCUUACCAAGGCUUUGACGGGUAGCCGGCCUGAGAGGGUGACCGGCCACAAUGGGACUGAGAGACGGCCCAGACUCCUACGGGAGGCAGCAGUGGGGAAUAUUGCACAAUGGGCGGAAGCCUGAUGCAGCAACGCCGCGUGCGGGAUGACGGCCUUCGGGUUGUAAACCGCUUUCGCCUGUGACGAAGCGUGAGUGACGGUAAUGGGUAAAGAAGCACCGGCUAACUACGUG